AAACUUUGCAAUGUGCGCAAGCACGACAAGGUUAAUCCGAGUGUUUCCUGCUUAAGGAAUCUUUUGUUAGUUGUAAAACCACUAUCGAAUAAGGGGUGGGCAAGUUCUGGUGUCAGCCGCCGCGGUAAAACCAGCACCUCAAGUGGUCAGGAGGAUUAUUGGGCCUAAAGCAUCCGUAGCCUGUUCUAUAAGUUUCCGGUUAAAUCCAUUAGCUCAACUAAUGGGCCGCCGAAAAUACUGUAGAACUAGGGAGUGGGAGAGGUAGACGGUAUUCGGUAGGAAGGGGUAAAAUCCUUUGAUCUAUUGAGGACCACCUGUGGCGAAGGCGGUCUACCAGAACACGUUCGACGGUGAGGGAUGAAAGCUGGGGGAGCAAACCGGAUUAGAUACCCGGGUAGUCCCAGCUGUAAACGAUGCAGACUCGGUGAUGCGCUGGCUUGUGGCCAGUGCAGUGCCGCAGGGAAGCCGUUAAGUUUGCCGCCUGGGAAGUACGUACGCAAGUAUGAAACUUAAAGGAAUUGGCGGGGGAGCAC
rnacentral:rRNA from 1 species